rnacentral:rRNA from 1 species
ACGGAGGGUGCGAGCGUUGUUCGGAAUCACUGGGCGUAAAGCGCGUGUAGGCGGCUCGAUAAGUCUGGUGUGAAAGCCCGGGGCUCACCCCCGGAAGUGCACUGGAUACUGUCAAGCUCGAGUUCCGGAGAGGAAAGUGGAAUUCCUGGUGUAGCGGUGAAAUGCGUAGAUAUCAGGAGGAACACCGGUGGCGAAGGCGGCUUUCUGGACGGUAACUGACGCUGAGACGCGAAAGCGUGGGGAGCAAACAGGAUUAGAUACCCUGGUAGUCCACGCUGUAAACGAUGAGUACUAGGUGUCGCGGGUAUUGACCCCUGCGGUGCCGUAGCUAACGCAUUAAGUACUCCGCCUGGGGACUACGGCCGCAAGGUUA